CCCCCUCUCCCGAUGCCUUCUUCGCUCCAAGCCCGAGCAGCAGGAACGAAAUGGCCCUAAUAUAUAUAGCCCCUCCAAGCUCCCCCGCUUUUUCCUCUUCCUCCUCCUCACCCGGAACCCGCUCCGCCUCUAGAGCCUUCCCCGGUCGCGGGCGGCGGCGGCGGCGGCGGACCCGCUCCGGCCUCCGGGAAUUGGGGAAGAAGACGAGGGAUGGAAGGGGAGGAGCUCCGAGAAUGGGAAACCCGCGUGGAGAACGCGCGCGAGGAGGUCGCCGCAGGGAUUUCUGGGGAUUUCCCGGCCUUCACGGAACGCCGUGGAAGAAAAUAUCCCCCGUCGCCUUCGCUCCGCCGACGCCGGACGAUAGCGCCUCCGUCGGCAGCUGGCCGCC
rnacentral:lncRNA from 1 species